UCUCAAUAUGUGUAGCCUGCCAUUAUUGUAGCCAUACCCCAUAAAGCCAAAACAAUGAUCACAUGCAUGCAUUUAUUAUGAUUGUAGAUUGGAACUUAACACCUCAAUCUCUAGCUUCUUGCUAUACAUGGGUUCUGAGUGUUUAUCAAUAUGAUGUUAUGAAGAGGGGCAAGACACUGGCAGCCAACCACGUGAGCUAAGUUUUUGACCGACAGCGCUUUCCAACAAUCAGAGGUUGAGUUGUGCACAGUUAGCUUUGCGCAGUCAGGUUAUAAACACAUUUUAGAACCCAUGUAUAAAGAAGAGAUUAAAGCACCAGCACAGUUGGGAUACUGUAUGAUAUUGAUAAAGCAUUUGCUUAGCCUUCAGACCCAUGUAAUUAAUGCCUGUUUCCUUUAUAGAACAGGAAGUAACAUUCAGUAAUACCUUGAGCAGCAUUUGCUAACUCUCUCUCUCUCUCUCUCUCUCUCUCUCUCUCUCUCUCUCUCUCUCUCUCUCUCUCUCUCUCUCAUGUACUUAUUUCUAAGGUGACCAAAAUCUGUUUCACUCUGCAGCACUUGUCCUGGAGGUUUUGUAGACAGAACUGGAAGUGACUGAAAGAAAACGGAGACUCAUUCUUUCAGCAAGGUGACCAAAAUCUGUUUCGCUCUGCAGCACUUGUCCCGGAGGCUUUGUAGACAGAGUGACUGAACGAAAACCUAAAUGAGAAAUAGGAACAACAUGUUUAGAAGAUGAAGUGUGGAAGCCUCGGCAGCUUCAGUAUGCUGUGUACCUCAUCUUGAACUCUUUCACAUGGUGAUUCCUACACAUAAUUGCACACUGUAUGUGUUUAGCUAUCCUGUCUUACAAAGACUUAUGCCAGCACUGUAUCUGCCUUUCCUCAAUACAAUGUAAAAAGUGCUGCAUAGACCAUUAGAGAAGCAAUGUCUCGUGACUUUUACUGUAUGUUUAUUUUUGAGCAAGUGUCAUUUGUUUUGUAAAAUAUCUUUGCAGAUUUUCUUUUCAUGCCUGGACACUUUUUUUUAUUUCAAAUAUUGCUUUGAAUUGAUGCAAAUUGAAGAACGUGAAUCCCUGGUAAUAAAGGAAGGUUGACCAGAAAAUCA